rnacentral:rRNA from 1 species
CAAGGUCUCCGUAGGUGAACCUGCGGAGGGAUCAUUACUGAGUGAGGGCUCACGCCCGACCUCCAACCUUUUGUGAACACAUCUUGUUGCUUCGGGGGCGACCCUGCCGGCACUUUGUCGCCGGGCGCCCCCGGAGGUCUUCAAACACUGCAUCAUUGCGUCGGAGUUUAAACAAAUUAAACAAAACUUUCAACAACGGGUCUCUUGGUUCUGGCAUCGAUGAAGAACGCAGCGAAAUGCGAUAAGUAAUGUGAAUUGCAGAAUUCAGUGAAUCAUCGAAUCUUUGAACGCACAUUGCGCCCUUUGGUAUUCCGAAGGGCAUGCCUGUUCGAGCGUCAUUUCACCACUCAAGCCUGGCUUGGUAUUGGGCGUCGCGGCUCCGCGCGCCUUAAAGUCUCCGGCUGAGCUGUCCGUCUCUAAGCGUUGUGGAAUUUUACUAUUCGCUUCGGGGCGCGGGCGGUUCGCGGCCGUUAAAUCUUUAUUCAAGGUUGACCUCGGAUCAGGUAGGGAUACCCGCUGAACUUAAGCAUAUCAAUAAGCGGAGGAAAAGAAACCAACAGGGAUUGCCCCAGUAACG